CCUCUCACGGCUCUCAGCUUCCGGUUGUUGUUGGUCGAACACGUGUGUUAUGUGUAUCACUAUAACGGCUAUGCGGGAACUUGAGAUUGGCUACUUGUGCCAUGCCAACAUCAAAUUUGGAGCAAGUGGAAGUUCUUUCUAUUGAGUAUGUUGAGAACAUAGCCUGCAUCAGGAAGGUCCAGGAUAAGCAGGUGAUGGCAUGGAGGUGAUGGGAGAGGAGCAGGGAUAAAUUAAGCUGUUUAUGAGAAAGAUUGUCUACUCCUACAAAAAGCUCAUUGUGUGACAAUGUUUUGCGUCUGAUUCAACGUGUGGCUCAAGACAUUAAGUACAUAGAAGAAAAUCCUGAACUUUAUUCUGCAAAGUAGUGAAAGUUAUUUUGAAUAAAUAUUUAAACCUGUGUUCUGCUUUGCUGCCAGAAACAUUUGCAUGAUGUCAAGUGUCCUGUGCACUGAUGGGCUGAUGAAUCAUGGAGAGCAGAUUUCUUCUUUGGUUAGAAGUUUGAUUUGAUGAUUUUAAAAUUGAUGCCAACAGAAAUGUGAUUUUUCAGUGCAGUGGCUCAUUAAAGGGAUCAAACACAUUUUUGAUGAAGAUAUACUGUAUCAGUAUGGAUUAAGGUGAAAUGUAGGAAAUGGAGCAUUAAUUAAAUAGAACUGCACCUUACAAGUUUUUUGAUGCAGUGUGUUUUUGGUGUGGUUGAUGUCCCAAGAUGGCUUCGAGUAUCAUGUCAUACGACUUGGGAUCCAAUUUCAACAGAUACCAGCAUGUGGAAGAUGAAAACAUACAGGAUGUCAUGACCUGUAAAAGUUGUAAUGAGCUGCAGAAUUAGUGGCAGUUUGCUGUUGCUAAAGGGUAUUGUUUUCUGGGAAUACAAUGGACAAACAGAACAAGAUAAAUGAUUGUAGCCAAGUAGGCAUAUUGCCCAACCCUGAGCAACGAGAUAUGCUAGAAUUAUGAAACUUGUAUCAGUGAAUAGUGCCAUGGGAUCUUGUCAAACAAGUUGUGACAUUUGUAUAGAUAGGUGUGGUGUUCUGUCGGACAUGUGACAGAACAGACAAUACUCAUGAUAAAGCAGCUAGUGCAUUUGUAGUUUCAAAGACUAUACAUAAUCGAAACAGAAAAAAGGAAACAACUAUCACAUGUUCAGAAGUAUUAAUAGUGCUAGUGGUAGUAAUAAUAAUAAUAAUAAUGAUUGCAGAUGAUAGUGCUGCCAUACGUCAGCUUUGUGUGUUGUCUAGAGGCUUUACUUUGUGCCAUAUCACAUGGUAUGGAGUGCAAUUGAAUGUUCGAGGAACAGAGUGGUGAGUUCCAAUUGAUGUUCUGGCCCCCAACCAGAUCUGAUCCUGAUCGGACACAUGGGAUGUGACUGAAUGUGGCGUCAGAGUUAGUCAUCUCCCUUCCUCAAAUUUACAGGAAUCUGGUGACUUGUAUGCAGAUGUGUCAACUCCCUCCAGCAACCUUCCUGUGUCUGAUUGCUUCCAUGCCACGAUGUGUCACUGCAGUUAUCUGUGCCAAAGGUGGACAAACCAUAUUGUAAGCUGUAAAGUAAAAUUUUUUGUUACAUUGAAAAUGUACCACAACAGAAACGACAUCCAGAAAAUGGUAGAUAACUGGCAACAAGCAGCUCAUGCACUCAUGAUAGCCCAUAAAGACACAAAUGUCUACAAUGCCGAUGAAAUUGGACUCAACAAGGAGAUGACUGUGGGCCGCACUCUAGCACACAGAGGUGCUAGAGAUAUUGUAGGAGUUGUACAGUUUGUUCACGUGACAACUCAUACGUGCAUAAUUACCGCAUCGCUUUCACAGAGGGGCAGACUUGCUCUAAAGCUUUUGUUGCAGUUAGAUAGUCUCGUUCCUUGAGUACUCAUGCAUGUCAGUCCAUGUUCCCAACACCAAAUUUAAUUGUCCACUCUCACUCCUCCAGCAAAAUGACCAAAGAACUGUUGAGGAUGUUUUUACAAGAAAUGGCAGAGGAAGAAAUCAGUGGAGAGAAACUUCUGCUUGUACUGGAAUCUUAAACCUUAACCAAAAUCGAUAUUUUGACAAACAUAGCUGGAAUUGUGGGUCCAAAUGGACCCCUGACUAAAAAUUCAACAUAAUCCCUAUAAAAGAUGAUAUUCAUAUGUAAAUAUGUAAUGAUUGUAUUAAAAUAAGUUUUGUUUCAAACAUAAAUCAACUUUUAUUGAUCAAAA